rnacentral:rRNA from 2 species
GGGAUUGCCUCAGUAACGGCGAGUGAAGCGGCAAAAGCUCAAAUUUGAAAUCCCCCGGGAAUUGUAAUUUGAAGAGAUUUGGGUCCGGCCGGCAGGGGUUAAGUCCACUGGAAAGUGGCGCCACAGAGGGUGACAGCCCCGUGAACCCCUUUAACGCCCUCAUCCCAGAUCUCCAAGAGUCGAGUUGUUUGGGAAUGCAGCUCUAAGUGGGUGGUAAAUUCCAUCUAAAGCUAAAUACCGGCGAGAGACCGAUAGCGAACAAGUACAGUGAUGGAAAGAUGAAAAGCACUUUGAAAAGAGAGUGAAAAAGUACGUGAAAUUGUUGAAAGGGAAGGGCUUGCAAGCAGACACUUAACUGGGCCAGCAUCGGGGCGGCGGGGAGCAAAACCACCGGGGAAUGUACCUUUCGAGGAUUAUAACCCCGGUCUCUACUUCCAUACUGUCCCGAGGCCUGCAAUCUAAGGAUGCUGGCGUAAUGGUUGCAAGUCGCCCGUCUGA